rnacentral:rRNA from 1 species
AGAGUUUGAUCCUGGCUCAGAUUGAACGCUGGCGGCAUGCCUUACACAUGCAAGUCGAACGGUAGAGUAGCAAUACUCGAGAGUGGCGAACGGGUGAGUAAUAUAUCGGAACGUGCCCAGUCGUGGGGGAUAACGUAGAGAAAUUUACGCUAAUACCGCAUACGAUCUAAGGAUGAAAGCGGGGGAUUCGCAAGAACCUCGCGCGAUUGGAGCGGCUGAUAUCAGAUUAGGUUGUUGGUGAGGUAAAAGCUCACCAAGCCGACGAUCUGUAGCUGGUUUGAGAGAACGACCAGCCACACUGGGACUGAGACACGGCCCAGACUCCUACGGGAGGCAGCAGUGGGGAAUUUUGGACAAUGGGCGCAAGCCUGAUCCAGCCAUGCCGCGUGAGUGAAGAAGGCCUUCGGGUUGUAAAGCUCUUUCAGCCGGGAAGAAAACGCAUGGGUUAAUACCCUGUGUGGAUGACGGUACCGGAAUAAGAAGCACCGGCUAACUACGUGCCAGCAGCCGCGGUAAUACGUAGGGUGCGAGCGUUAAUCGGAAUUACUGGGCGUAAAGCGUGCGCAGGCGGUUUGUUAAGAUAGGCGUGAAAUCCCCGGGCUCAACCUGGGAACUGCGUUUAUGACUGGCAGGCUAGAGUAUGGCAGAGGGGGGUGGAAUUCCACGUGUAGCAGUGAAAUGCGUAGAGAUGUGGAGGAACACCGAUGGCGAAGGCAGCCCCCUGGGCCAAUACUGACGCUCAUGCACGAAAGCGUGGGUAGCAAACAGGAUUAGAUACCCUGGUAGUCC